ensembl:lncRNA
AUUCGGAAGCACGCUGCUAUAGAAACGGAUUUGGGAGACGCGUUGUAGAGAGAUCGCCGAUUUUCAGGGCGUCUCAGAGUUUCUUUUCGGGCUUCAUCACUCUGCAUUGCUCCAGGAUUGCUCCAGGUCCUCAUCGCCGUUCCGUAUAACGCAGUGCUGCAUACAGUACUACUGCUCAUCCAAACACUUCACUCAUCUCAGGCAGACCAGCGGUGUGUUUAUGUCUUUGCUUUACGAAAACGCAGACUAUUCGGACGUCAGGAGCUGCGGAUGGGAAAGGUAUACACGGAUUUAUUUACCGGUUUACUGGUUGAUUUUUUUUAUUGGCUUUUGCAAUGUGUUCUUGUUCCCGUCUCGCGACUGCACUCUACCCUCAAACGAGUCGGU